GCCCAGACUCCUACGGGAGGCAGCAGUGGGGGAUAUUGCACAAUGGGGGAAACCCUGAUGCAGCGACGCCGCGUGAGCGAUGGAGUACUUCGGUAUGUAAAGCUCUGUCAGCAGGGAAGAGAAUGACGGUACCUGACCAAGAAGCCCCGGCUAAAUACGUGCCAGCAGCCGCGGUAAUACGUAUGGGGCAAGCGUUAUCCGGGUUUACUGGGUGUAGAGGGAGCGUAGGCGGCAGGGCAAGCCUGAUGUGAGAGCCCGGGGCGCAACCCCGGGACUGCAUUGGGGACUGCCCCGCUCGGGUGCCGGAGGGGCAGGCGGAAUUCCUAGUGUAGCGGUGAAAUGCGUAGAUAUUAGGAGGAGCACCAGUGGCGAAGGCGGCCUGCUGGACGGUGUACUGACGCUGAGGCUCGAAAGCGUGGGGAGCAAACAGGAUUAGAUACCCGUGUAGA
rnacentral:rRNA from 1 species